rnacentral:rRNA from 1 species
GAUGAACGCUGGCGGCGUGCCUAAUACAUGCAAGUCGAGCGAAUGGAUUAAGAGCUUGCUCUUAUGAAGUUAGCGGCGGACGGGUGAGUAACACGUGGGUAACCUGCCCAUAAGACUGGGAUAACUCCGGGAAACCGGGGCUAAUACCGGAUAACAUUUUGAACCGCAUGGUUCGAAAUUGAAAGGCGGCUUCGGCUGUCACUUGUGGAUGGACCCGCGUCGCAUUAGCUAGUUGGUGAGGUAACGGCUCACCAAGGCAACGAUGCGUAGCCGACCUGAGAGGGUGAUCGGCCACACUGGGACUGAGACACGGCCCAGACUCCUACGGGAGGCAGCAGUAGGGAAUCUUCCGCAAUGGACGAAAGUCUGACGGAGCAACGCCGCGUGAGUGAUGAAGGCUUUCGGGUCGUAAAACUCUGUUGUUAGGGGAGAACAAGUGCUAGUUGAAUAAGCUGACACCUUGACGGUACCUAACCAGAAAGCCACGGCUAACUACGUGCCAGCCGCCGCAGUAA